CUGAUGUAGAUAUUCAAUACAAAAACUACACCGAUGAAACAAAGACAAGACUUUUGAUAUGCAAUGCAACUGGAAUUCCCAGCAUAUACAAUUUCCAUGAUUGGGAACAUACAUCUGAUUAUGGUGACCACAUACGUUUUCUUUCCGGAAGUAAAGAUGGUAUUCUGUAUUUACCAGACAAUGUCAAGGACAACAAAUAUCAAGACAAUGGGUAUUAUAAAUGUACAGUGGACAACAACAUCCCCGAUGUAAAUGGCAAUAUUAAACAAAAUGCUGAAGUGUAUUUAGACGUGAAAGGCAAACCCGUUUUCGUCAUUGAUAGCACUUAUACAAUUUAUGGCGAAUACUAUCAGUCCGUCUCCGUAGCUGUCAACAUCUUUUGUAAUCCGAAGUAUACAACUUUAGAAAUAUUCCAUAAAAAUGAUAUCAAUUCUGAAUCAAACCUAAAGGUGAUAGAAGAUUACACAUCUGUCAUAGAUACUUUUCAUGGAACAAGAGUUCAUAUCAAGGGAUACCGGAUAACAAUCAGAAUUGGAAAUCUCACUGAUGAAUUCUUAACGGAAUAUACAUUAAAUGUAAUGAACGCUUUUGGCCAAAGUCAACAUAGAUUAUCAGUGCUUCGAGCAAGUCCUCCUGAUACGCCUUUAAACGUUGCCUUAAUGCCUGUGGCAAAUGACGUGAAAAUAGAAUGGAAUCCAAACUUCAAUGGUGGAUUUCAACAAUGCUUUUUUAUAGAAUAUCGUGACCAAGACAGUACAAUAUGGAUAGAAGUGCAGGCAUUCAAUACAACCACCAAUGCUGGAGCUUCCUGGACAGUUCACAAUCUGAAAUUCGGUCGAUCGUACAUCUUUAGAAUGUUUGCCCGAAAUAGAAUCGGGGAAAGCAAUAAAACUAAUGAAAUGUUUGUGACAAUUAACCAGGAGCGCACAAAUGUUCUAUUUUAUAGUAUAUUGACCGCAUCUGCUUCAGUGAUUUUGUUGUUGAUUAUUGUGUUUACUGCGUGUGCUUAUAAAAGACGUAUGAGCAGUAAUGUCAAGAUUAAUCACAGUUCUACUCAGACUUACAAUAUAGAAGCAGGUCAAUAUGAUGAAAUUGACGAGUAUCAAAUGGUACAUCGUCAUGAUGUAAUAACUGCUGCUAGAUAUGACAUACAAGAAACAAAUAUUGACAGCGAUUACGAACAACCAGUGGAUUCCUUGAGUACAGGCAGAAGCGUUAACGACCAGCAGAAUUUGUCGUCUACAAACAGUGAAAUCAGUGAAAAUGACAUUGAUGAAAAUCAUACGUUUACAAAGGACGUCAUUGUUAAUUCAUAUGAACAGUUAACUGUUGAUCCAGAACCCCCUUUACCAUACGACGCACUUAAUCAUUGAUUUUAUGUUUAACAUUUAGUUUAUUGAGAUGUCGUCAAUUUUGAUAUUAUCAAGUUUUGCGUUCAUGUUUUUUAUGAUUCCAUUUUGAUAGUUUUCAUGAUGCCUUUUAAAAUAUUCUGGGUGUUUUUUCUGUUUGUCCAAAAUAAUGGUAAAAAAUUACAAGAUUUUUUAAAACCAAUGAAUUUCAUUCGUGCGACAAGCGUGGUUGCAGGGGGUUCUAAUAUGCCCCUUAUGUAUAAAUUAUGAGCAAAUGAUAAACAAAUUACUUCAUAAAAACAGUAUAGUUGGUGGUUUACGUAAUAUAGAUAUUUUCAAUUCUUUUUUUAUUGAACUUGUUGAGAUAGUUGAAUGUAAAUAAACUAGCGUCUAUUGCGUUUUUGCAUAUUUUCCAUUAAUGUUUGUUGAUAUCUAUGAUGAAAAAAAUAUAUAAUUCAGGAAUAUGUUUUGAAAUAAAUCUAAAGGGUUAAAAAUAGGACCAAAAAAUCUGAUAUUUGGUAUUUAUGAUAACAUGUGGAAAACAGAUACAGUAUACUUACAAGAAAGUAAAUCCACACAAUUGUAGAUUGAGGAAAUAUUAGUUUCAGAUUGUACUUUAAUUGAAUAUUUU